rnacentral:rRNA from 1 species
CAAUGGGCGAAAGCCUGAUCCAGCAAUGCCGCGUGUGUGAAGAAGGCCUUCGGGUUGUAAAGCACUUUUGUCCGGAAAGAAAACCUCCGCCCUAAUAUGGUGGGGGGAUGACGGUACCGGAAGAAUAAGCACCGGCUAACUACGUGCCAGCAGCCGCGGUAAUACGUAGGGUGCAAGCGUUAAUCGGAAUUACUGGGCGUAAAGCGUGCGCAGGCGGUCCGCUAAGACAGAUGUGAAAUCCCCGGGCUUAACCUGGGAACUGCAUUUGUGACUGGCGGGCUAGAGUAUGGCAGAGGGGGGUAGAAUUCCACGUGUAGCAGUGAAAUGCGUAGAGAUGUGGAGGAAUACCGAUGGCGAAGGCAGCCCCCUGGGCCAAUACUGACGCUCAUGCACGAAAGCGUGGGGAGCAAACAGGAUUAGAUACCCUGGUAGUCCACGCCCUAAACGAUGUCAACUAGUUGUCGGGUCUUCAUUGACUUGGUAACGUAGCUAACGCGUGAAGUUGACCGCCUGGGGAGUACGGUCGCAAGAUUAAAACUCAAAGGAAUUGACGGGGACCCGCACAAGCGGUGGAUGAUGUGGAUUAAUUCGAUGCAACGCGAAAAACCUUACCUACCCUUGACAUGUAUGGAACCU